CUAGUAGAAGGUCUGUGUUGUGAUGACGCAAGAAUAGUCGUUGGAGGGAGAAUAAAAGCUGUUGUUUUGGAUUUGUUGAAGAUGAGAUGGAUUUUGUUUGAAAUAAAUGUUCUCUGUUCAUAGAGUUGCUGCAUAAUUCUUUGAUACUUCCCUUACUGUACAUAAUUUCCAACUAUGCCUCCAAAGAUCCCGGCAACAAUGAAUCUUAAACAGUUUAUGCUCCGUCAGAAAGUUCUGAAACUGUAUCGAGACAUAUUACGGGAAAUACGCAGAGUACCGGAUGAAGGAAGUAAAGCAGAACUUCGCCUUUGGGCUAGAAGUGACUUUAGAAAGUACCAAAAUGAGAAAGAUGAGUACGCUAUAAAGAUGCUGAUCUUCAAUGGUGAGAGAUCCUUAAAGGAACUGAAGCAAUCCAUUGAGUUGAGCAGUGCAAAGAAUAAUUAAAAGUAGCAUGUGAUGUUAAUGGCACAUGAUUGCUGUGACUGAACAAUAUAAAACAAUGUAAUAUUUAUGGUGACAUCAUCUUGACAACAGAGAUAUGGUGAAAUAGAUAAGAUAGAUGUUGUAUGCUUACAAGAUGAAGGCAGCACAGAUUGUUGAUACUGGUGUAACUUAUAAUAAUUAUAGCUGGGACCAAUUUGUUUAAUUAAUGCAGCUGUUAUUUGAUUUGGUUAUAAAUGAAGCUGUUAACGAACAACCUGAAGCCAGAAUACUUUGACAUAAUUAUUUUUUAUGUACUUUACACGAGGAAUGCUACUGUUCCUUUCCAUUGGUCAUGUCUUGUCACAUAUUUUGCUUGUGUGAAGCCUUCUAUUUGGAGCCCGAGCAAAAGUGAUGUAAAGUGGGGGGCAAAAACCUAAUUAAUGUGAUUGAUAACUGGUUUGUGUGUGUACUUCCUGUGCCUUGUUGAUAUAGAUGAGCACAAGGUGCUUUUACAAAUUUUGGCCGUUCUUUCUAGAUCUAUGUAUGUACUCUGCAAGCCAUUAAACAGUGAAUGGCUGAGAGUACUCUGCACCAUAUUAAACAAGAGAAAAAGACACUCUAUAUGCCUGUGUACAUGCCCUAAUCUCGCUUUAUCUUAUUCUCAUGAUCCCAGAAUGGUUGUACAGUCUUCUUUGAAUACAAGUUCUGUAAAUGUUCCCAAAGGGCUUCACAAGAACUAUACCAUCUGUCCUCCAAUGAUUCCAAUUGAAGUUCUGUGAGCAAUUCUGUUACACUUUUGUGAGGCCAAUACCAACCUGCUACAAUCCUAGCAGCUUGUCUCUGAAUUUGUUCACUGUCUAUUGUCAUGCCUACUUAAUGACACCAAACUAUGGAACAAUACUUUAGAAUUGGCUGCCCUAGCAUCUUAUAUACAAUUUCCUUUACAAAUGUAGUACACUUUCACAGAACCUAUCCAACAAAUCCAAGUCUUUCGUUCACCUUCCCUAAUACUAAUUGUAAGUGUUUGUCCCAUUUAGUAUCACUUUUUAGUAUUACCUCUAAAUACUUCAUGUCUACAUCUAUCUACACAUAUACCUCACCGUAUGGUGCAUUGAGGAGGUAACUUAUAUCAUUGCUAGUCAAGUAGAGAACAAGAGCAGUCCCAUCACACAGCCCUGGACCACUCCCAGUGAUACUUUUGAUGACCACUUGCUAUCCAGGACACCAUACUGGGUUCCAUUACUUAAAAAAUCUUUGAGCUACUCACAUGUCUGAGAACCUAUUCUGUAUCCUCAGAUUUUGUGAACAGUCUGCAGUGUGGCACUGUGUGAAGUGCUGUGUGCAAGAAAAGAGCAAGCUAAGUUUCAGAUGUGUCAUGCUCUCUGAAUCCGUGCUGAUUUGUAGAUGGAAAAUGCGAUACACUCUAGAUGUUCACAGCUAAUCUUAUAAUCAGGUUCUUUCUCUUUGUUAUAGGCCUUGUUUUACACAUAUCCACAUUUAAGGAGACCCUCUUAAUGUUACUGAUUCUACCUGAAAAAACCUUUAAUGUAUAUUGACAAUAUUAUAGUCCUUAUUACAUUUUCUUGGGCUACACCCAAUAUGACUUUAAUUACUGUUACACAUUCAUCCCCUAGUAUUACACACUGCCUUACAUUUGUCAAAUAUUCAUUGUGACAAUCACAUAUUUGCAAAGAUAUUCUGUAUUUUUGUAUCUUGGAUAGUAAUUGACAGUGUGGUACUGUGUCAGAAUACCUUUCAGAAAUUCAAGAAGGUGGAACCUAUCUGUUCACCUUCAUGUAUUAUUAAAUUUGAAAGGUAAUUGUGUAUGAAUAAAGCAAGCUGUGUUUCUCACAAA